GAAAAAUAACAACUCCCAUGAGGAGAAUACUAGCUCCGUGCUACUACAUUAUCGUGAGACAACUUCCACGAGGACGUAACUCGAUCAACUCGAUUACCCCAGAGACAACUCCCACGAGGAGAUUACUUGAUCCGUGCUACUACAUUAUCGCGAGACAACUCCCACGAGGAGAUAACUCGAUCAACACUAUUACCCCGCGACAAGAGAACUCCCACGAGGAGAUAAUUCGCUACUACAUCGUCGCGGGACAAAACCGACGACUCAAUUAACUUAUAUCGCGGUAACUUUGUCGCGCUAUGCGCCAACGCGCAUUCACACCCCUCCGACACACGCUCCAACGCGUUUUCGCAUACCAUUAGGCCAUACGCCAACGAUCGAC
rnacentral:lncRNA from 1 species